CCAACGGCAGAUAGUGCCUACAAUGUUUCCUUGUGUCGCCGUCAGUCAUUCAUGUUACUCCAUGAAUGUAGAAUCGUAGCUCAGUACGUGUAAAUAAUUUCAUAUUUUCCGCAAGACAAUUCUAUAAUACAAAUGUAUACAGGAGUGGGUCAAGCGACGGGCCCGCGCCGUGUCACCAGUGCGUAGGAGCACCGCUGCGUCAUCCACGUGCAUCUCAAAAACCUUUCCACAAAAACUCACGCUAACCGACUAGCGAGGCAAAAGGCGACGAAGCUUUUAAACUUUAGGAACUUUUUCCCGUCGUAUCGCAUUCGUCAAGUGACAAGUACCUACACAAAGUGUCUAAUUAGUAUUCAUCUGGGCGCGUGUAGACCUCUUCGCGGUGGGGACGGGUUAUUAGCCGGCGCCGCCUCCGCGCCCAGGCAUAUUGUUCCGAGUUCUGCCCACCGAGCGCCGUACGCUCGCCCGACCAACGAUAAUUCAUAUUGUCAAUAUUUGUACUGCAACAACGAACCGACGAUUUCACCAGAGGAAGCCGAGCCGGUGGCUGGGAAGGCAAGAAGUCGGCAUAGCUGUUUGAAAAUGAUAUACGGCUGUGUCACUUCGAGCCAGCUCAAUCCACCGGCUUUCUGCAUAAAGAAGAUUUGCGGACGCUGCCGUAACGUGAAAAUUCGGAUCGCUCCCGUAGCGGCGCGACUCCGGCCGGGAGAGGGCGCAUUGACAGCUGUCACUGGGCACUAUUUCGCUUUCUUCGCGGCCGGACGUGGGAGGAAAUCGUUUAUUUUUAUCACACACGACGAUGUUCCCGUAGAGUGCGACCGGCUGUGUACGUGCGUGACGAAACGAUCGAAAACAAGACGACAAAAUGCCGAACGAGGAGGUGUUGGGUCCGCGGAAGACGAUGUUCGUACUAGUGAUUGUUGUGGGAUGUUUCGCGGUGCUGUGGCCCAGGAUUCUGUCGCCGCUGAUCUUGGGCCACUCGCGGGACCAGCUCAAACCGAACGCGUUCGACCGGGAGGCAGGAUGCUGCGAAGUGAUGUUCGAGACAGAACUGGCGGUAUUGGAACUGAUCAACGAGGUAUGUAGUUCAGCAGUCCACGUGGACGGAAAGCUCUCUCCAUACGCCGCGGCGGAGUGUCGCAAAGCCGUCAACGAGACCUGCGGAGUAGAUAUAGCGGCAUUCCUCAAACGAAAUGAGAACAUCGGCAAGACCUCCAAGAAACUAGUCGAGACUAUGAAGAACAGCAACUCCUCGUGCCUUAAGGAGCAUUUUGGCGUGCCCGUCUGGAGUCUCGCUCCUCACCAGGCGUUCAACUCAUGGACCCUACAAGACACUGUAAAACAAGAGCGUCCUCUGAACCGCGGCGCAGGGCCGCAUCCAGCACUGCGAGAGCGGGGCCGCGCGAUUCCUCAGGGCGUGGCCCCCGCGAGACCCGCGACACCGAUGCCGCCCCACGUUCGGGUACGAUCCUCCCCGCUAUCAGUGUACUAUGAGCUGGACAUCAAGCCACCACCGAUCCCGGGCAUGCGGCCCCCGCUCGGCUCGCCCGGGGGUCCGGUGCCCACGCCCAAGUCGUCCAUGGGGUUCGUCAUGCCGAUCUACACGAUAUGCAUCAUAGUGUUCUUCGUGUACACACUUAGCAAGAUCCUGUUCAAGCGCACCGCGUCCCCCUACGAGCCUGUUAGUCCCGACCCCCACUUCAGGAGCAGGGUGUUCCGCGACGACUCCAGGACGUCGCCCGACAAGCUCGUUGUUACUGCAAUAUCGGGCCUGGUGGCAGAGGUACAGCAGCAGAUGGAGGCGAGCUACGCGCAAAACCAGCAGCGACAGGAGGCCCAGGAUGAGCAGGCUCGCCCGUACACGAACGGUACAAUACUUCACAACACCGGCCCGGUGCAUAUCGUCGCCAGCGAAUACCAGGAAGUAUCCAAGGAAAAGACUCCUGAACCUCAGAGGGAAGUGCCAGAACCUUCACCUGAAGUGAAGGAACCUGCCCCUGAACCUGAAAAGCCUCUGUCAAAAGAAUCUUUAGAGACGAAAGAGUCUGAGGAAUUAGAGGCUGAAAAACAAGAAGAAUUGGUUCAAGAAAUACCUGCAACACAAUCUGAAGAAGCAGAGACGGACGAUGUUAAAGAAGAGAAGGGUCCAGAAGAAAAUGACUUAAAACUCGUUGCUGACGAUGAAGUGGACGAAAAUGGUGGCGAAGCUAAAUUCGAUAAAGAAGAAUCGGGUUCAGAGCCAGAGUUAAUAGAAAUUAAUAAUAAAGAGGAUGAACUGAUUAAAUUAACAAACGAUGACGUAGAAAGCGAUGACUACGUCAAAGUGGUACAGGAUUUCUUGAACGAGGAAGCUAAAAUAGACGUGAAAGAAGAGAAACAAUCGACUCCGGAUCUCCUGGAAGUAGCUAUUAAAGAGGACUCGCCUGAUAAACCUGAGGAUGACCAAGAAAAUGCUAGUGUAAAGGUGGUAGGCAUGGAGGUGACGGCGCACACGGCGGACGGCGGCGCGCUGCCCCGCGCUCCCCCGCCGCCCGCGCCCGCGCCUGCGCCCCAGCGCCCGAUGGUGGUGAGCGGUAAAAUGACUUUGUCACUCAUACAGGACGCACCGAGAGACACUCCUGAGAAGGAUCCAGAAUCAACAGUGGAUGAUUUCACAACAGCCAGUGCAAUCACUCAACCCGCCGCUGAUAAACAAGUUGAAGAAGAGUCCGACGAAGAAAUAGAGAUCGAAGAAGAAAUAGAAGUGGAAGAGAUCGAGGAAGAGGAAGAAGUUGAGGAGAUUGAGGAAGACGAAGAGAACGAACCGGUGGAGGCGAAGAAACCAGAAGCAAAGGAACCAGUCAAAGUGCAAGAAGUAAAGGAAGCUGUUAAAGUACAGGAAGAAGUAAAACAAGCAGAAGAAGAUUCCGAAGAGGAGGUAGAAGUAAAUGAAGAUGAGGAACCAAUACAAGAUUCGAAAUUUGAACCGGUUAAAGAACUAGAUGCCGAUAAAGAAGAAGAAUAUUCUGAGGAAGAAAUUGAGGAAAAUGAGGAACCAGUGAAAGAGUCAGUUAAGGUAAAGGAACCGGUGAAAUUAAAAGAGCCAGUUAAAGGAAAACCAUCUGUAGAACAUUCAGAAGAUGAUAAGGAACAGAAGAAAGCGAAAGGAGAUAAAGAAUGAACUGAUAGGAAUUAACUUGUAGUGAGAGAAUGUUUGGUGGUUCUGUAAAGAAAAAUAUUAAACAAGUAAAAUGGAUUCAAAUAAAAAUACCUACAUUAUUUGGCCCUUUAAAUGGAAUCCAAAGAAGGAAUUAGGAAGGCAUAAUUUUUGAGCACCACCGAAAAUUUUUCACGUUUGAAGAAAAAAUACAUCAGGCAAAAACAACAUUAGUAUAUUUCAUACGGAACCACUAAACAGUUAUUUUAUCUUUAAAUAUAAUUUUAAAAAUGUUUAUUUUUGCAAGUUAUAUUUUCGUAUGCUUUCGCUCGUCACGUUAUUUUUUUACAAUUAUAUUUUUACCUUCGAUUGUCGUUUAUUUAAGAUGUAUAUUUCGUGCAGAUGUCGCCGUUCGCUUGUAGUAUAAGAUUUUAAGUGUGUUUAUGGACGUGGCAGUUUCUGGGGCAUAAUUUAUCAAUAUAAAAAAAAGACACUAAAAUUUUAGGCCUUGACAAAUCUAGUCAUUUUAAAAUUACUAUACUAAAAAGAUUUACAAUUACUCAGGUUUGUCUAUAAUCUUCAAUGACAACAAAAAUUAGCAUUGUAUGUUCAUCGAUCGAAAAUAACCAAUCAAAAUAAGUAAUUAGUAUGCCAUCAUUUAAUUCCAAUUUUUUCUUACAGUGAUUUGAUAAUCUAUUAAUUUCGAUCGAGAGAAUGUAAGAUGAUGCCUCAGUAUGCCGUAAGAGUGUCCAUGAACAUGGAACUACGAAUUUAGCAUUGCUCUCAGUGUUCGAUAUUUUUGUGCCAAAUUUACUUCGAGCUUUUUAAUUUUGUCAUAGUUUUACAUUGACCCCACACAUUUUGUAUUACAUUGACACCCCAUUGGCAAGUUUCCGGUUUAAACUACGAUAUUUAAAGAACCGGAAUGAGGUAGCCAGAAAAAUUACUGGAUAUUAUGAGCUUCACAGUUAAUGCGUCAUGGUGAAGAACACAAUGCUUUACCAUGUACUUGUAAUUUAAAGUUUUGAAAGAUUGUUUUUCGAAAACGUUGCUCGUCUCAUACUGUUCAAUUACAUAUUUUUACUGCUUAAUAUAUAUAUUUCAAUGGGGUGAUAUAACUAACUAUGUAUCAAUGUAUCAUUUAUAGGUUAGCGGUGAUGGACACGGCAGAGAAAAAAUCGAUUAAAUAUUGAAACUAUGACUCAUGAUCAUUCGCAUAUGGUUUCUAGUUACGUAAGUGUAAUUUCAAGCGAAGCGAAUUUUUUUUAUGAUAAUUUUAACCUUAUAGGAGACAUAAUUAGAUGUGGUUUCCAUUAUCUUCGAUUAGUCUAAUUGCCGGCACUCCGUCAGCGCUGAACCUUUAAAUUCACAGUCGCUGCUGGUCAUGGUUGAUGACGUCAUUUGUUGUUUCUUAGGCUGUCUUGCCAAAAUAUUUGUGGAUUAGUAUAGACAAUUUUUUUACCCUUAGCAAAUCUAAUUUGUGGCAAAUCUUCCUUCCAAAUGUUUAGCCAAAUUUUUACAAUGUUUUCCUAUUAUACACUAAUGUAUGAAUUAUAGGUAAUAAUAUAAAUUAAUAUUGUAUGAUCGCUUGCAAAAAAUAUUGUAUUAUAAUUAACAUUUUUUUUUUGAUUCUGUUAUGUAAAAUUUGUUAGAAUAUAAGAACCAGUUAUGGACUUGCCGACGUAUAAUUAUCAAAAAAAAAAGGUUGGAUUGAUCCUACAAUUUUUUACAGCAAUUUUUCUUGCAAGCGAUUUUUUAUUAGUAUCAUGCCCCAACCUCUACAUGUGUUAAUGUAUUGGGUGUGUUAGAAUAGACGGUAAUUUUGCACUGGCGUGUAGUUUUUAUGCAUUUAAGUUUAUAUCUUUGUGAUUUGUUAAGAAAAACAUUAUUUAUUUUGUUAUAUUUUUUUGCGGAAUGAACCCUUUAUGUGCGGAAUUUUUCGUCAAUAUUUUAUCAUACCUCAUUGUAUGACGGUUAGGUCUAUGGGGUAACGUGAUACAUCGCAUAAUAAGGGUGAAAAUAUUUAUUUUUGAAUGUUAACUAAUUUAUAUUAUUGAUUGUAAAUUUUUGUUUACUGUGGAAAUGUUUUUAGACGUUUUAUAAUCGAGUGUAACUUAUUAAUACAUGGUAUUCAGCAUUCCUUGUCUUUCUGAAUGUGUAGUAGAUCCAGAUCAGAUUGUCUAUUUAAAUGUAAACAUACACAUUUCCGAUAUGUAUUGCUUGUUUUUAGUUGUAAUAAAAUAACAGUAAAAAUGUUUUUUCUUUGUGCAAGUCUAGUUCCCAGUUAUGGACAAAACUAUCGUCACUUCCG
rnacentral:miRNA from 1 species